rnacentral:tRNA from 1 species
GCGGGAGUGGUGAAAUUGGCAGACACGCAGGAUUUAGGUUCCUGUGCCGCAUAGGCGUGAGGGUUCAAGUCCCUUCUCCCGCA